rnacentral:rRNA from 1 species
UGGGCCUACGGGAGGCAGCAGUGGGGAAUAUUGCACAAUGGGCGCAAGCCUGAUGCAGCGACGCCGCGUGCGGGAUGGAGGCCUUCGGGUUGUAAACCGCUUUUGUUCAAGGGCAAGGCACGGUCUUUGGCCGUGUUGAGUGGAUUGUUCGAAUAAGCACCGGCUAACUACGUGCCAGCAGCCGCGGUAAUACGUAGGGUGCAAGCGUUAUCCGGAUUUAUUGGGCGUAAAGGGCUCUUAGGCGGUUCUUCGCGUCCGUUGUGAAAGUCCAUUGCUUAACGGUGGAUCCGCGCCG